GCCGAGUGUACCCCACAUACCCUAAAUAAAUAAACAAACAAAUAAAUGAAUGAAUAAAGUAAAAAGUCAAUUACAUCUGAUUUCUCUGGUGACUCUGAAGUUGAUGAAUAAAGACAGUAAUUUUUUAAAAAAAAAACUUCAAGAACACUCAUUUAUAUAUUUUUAAAUUUAUUUGGAUAACUUAAAAAGAACACUAAGAAAAAGAUUUUUUUUGAAAAAAAAAAAAAGCAAAAAUGCCUAUAACCCAAGACUGUACAACUCUGUUACAUAUUGAUACAGUAGCUUCAAGCUUUUUUUUUUUUUUGCAUUUUUUCCAUGUAAUUGAUACAAAUGUUUAUGCUGCUAAACAUGGCUACAUCAGUGUUUCCGGUUUAUAAACUCUGUAGAUUGAAGUUGUAGCGGCUGCAGGUGACUAAACUGCAGGAAGGAGCAAUUCCUUUGGUCAUUACUGUCAGACAUUGACCUUAUCCGACAUUACGAAGGACAGCACUGUAAACACCAUGUUAGCAUUCACGGCUCUCUACAUCACUAGCUAUUUCUUUGGGUGAGGUGCUUGGAACGCGUGGGCCAAAGGGAAUGAGCAAAUGCAAAGUUGCUGACACACACUGUCUGCUCAAGGCUUCACAUAACCGGCUGUUUCUGUGCCUUCCAGCCCCACACAGGGCUUCUUUCAACACACCCCGAGCCAGUGCAAGGCUCCUCUUUUUCUCUCAGUUAAUUUCAGUUGAAACAAGCAUCCCAUUGUUCACAUGAGCAUCUCCUUUGGAGUAUGUAUGCGUCUGAACAUUUUUUCACGUGUCUGUCUGGCAGCUGCCUUUCUCCAUGUGUGCGCUGUCCCCACAGGAAGGCCAUAGCUUUUCUCAAACCUGGUUAUGGGUAUACAGCUGAAUUCGAGAGCUCACAGAUCUCACCGGGCCCUUGGAAAUGCUUUCUCUGUUCUUCGGCAGCUCAAAGGUUCCUAGUCCUUAUCAGAUUCUCCCAGGGUUACUCUUGCCCAGUGUUUUCUCAGAACAGGCUUUCUUUACCUGUCCCUACCUGCUCUGAGGGUUUCAAACUGUUUCCUCAGGUCAGCUCAGUUGCUGGGGCUGGACCAACCACCCUUCCUCCAGACCUCUCCAUCCUGCUGCCUUCCCACUACUUCUCCCUCCUCCUACUCCUCCCCCUCCUCCAACCUCUCUCCUUCCCCCGCCCUCACCCCUCCCCCACCCCUCCCUUCCCCUUCUCCACCGGUCUCCCUCCCCUACCCUGAUAAUUUCCUUGCAAUGCUUCCCUGCUAUCUUCAGUAGGUCGGUUUCUUGAGGGAGAAGACUGAAUCAGCCAGCUGCACCAGUUGGAUAAAGGAACCCUGGGUGGUUACUUCUGAGGCUGCCAGCUUCUGCCAGCUUAAGGUGUGGCCCAGAUUUAAGGUGGAUCUUCCUGCCUCAAAAGACCAGAAUUUAAGGUGGAUCUUCCCAUUCAAAUGAUUUAAUUAAGAAAAAAAAAAAAUCCCUCGACGGUGUACCCAGAUGCUUGGGUUUUAAUUAAUUCCAGAUGCAGUCAAGUUGACAGGCGGUAACAGCCACCACAGCUGAUUUUCCCUUCGCCAGAGGUCACUGCUGGGCCUGUUUCGUGAACCCCAAAAGACCACCAAGGAGCUGAUUCCGAUGCAGUCACACGAGGGUCUUUUUUGCAAGCUCCCAGCUUAGGCCACUCUGCCAUCUCUGACACAGCUGAACACGGGGAUGAAGCCCCAAGCUCUCGGCGGGACGAGGUUUUAUAGGAUAUGGCAAGUAAAUGAGGGGGUCCCCAGCCUGGCACACAUCUGACGGAGGAGCACAAUUACAGAAUUUUGUUGCCCUUUAGCAUCAUUGGCUGGGGAUGGAAGACAGAUCAUAAACUUAACUUCUGCUUUCCUCCUGGUUGGUGGUUGCUAGGAAGUGACGUGUGCGGGGGGGCGGGCCUGUAACCUGGAAACUGGUGCUAGACACACGUUUGUUGUGGAGUAGCCUGGAAACUGGUGCUAAGCGCCGGCUUGUCAGUUAACUCGAGUUCAACCUUAGGUCAAGUUCUUUAAGACAGAGUCUAAACCCAAGAUCCAGUCUCUCAGUUAUCAGUUGCAAAUAACUUCUUGUUUAGGGGCGGGACUCCAUGUCCACUCUCCCUACUCACUGCUGGAGCCACGCACAUCUUGAAACUGCGAAGGUUUUGUGUUUGCUGCCAUGGUCUCUUAAAAGCCGAUCAGCCGAUGGCUGGGCAGAAGAGAGAAUAGGGCAGAACUUCCACCAGCCGUGGGAGUUGGAGCGAGAAGAGGAAGAAAGGCAGAGCCACACCACGAG
ensembl:lncRNA